rnacentral:lncRNA from 1 species
CUCGUCAAAUAUUUGAAACAAAGAUGGACAUGUUUUAAGGCAUUCAGUCGUCUCACAUUGUUCCCACAAACCAUGAAUAAAUUGCGAGUAAUAAAUCAAAUGGUAAACAUAAUCGUCACAAGUAGGUAUUUGAAAAGAUUCACAUGGUUCACAGAGUUACAUAAUCAUACCAUGCAUUAAUCGACGGUCUAUAGAGUCACUCACACAUGCAUUAUCAAAAACAAGAAUCUUUUUAUCAACCAUCAAAACAGAUAGA